rnacentral:rRNA from 1 species
CUGGUUGAUUCCUGCCAGUGAGCGUACGCUCUUUUUAAAGAUUAAGCCAUGCACGUGCUAGUUCAUACAUUGUAAAUGUGAGACUGCGGACGGCUCAGUAAAUCAGUUAUAAUCUGCUCGAUUGUAAAGGUUAUUGGAUAACCGUGGGAAAUCUAGAGCUAAUACAUGCAAUUUAGGGUGCGAGUAAUCGUGCUCGAUGGCAUUUAUUAGAACAUGACCAACCGUGGAUGAAAGUCUACGUGGUGAAUCUAGAUAACUGUGCAGAUCGUAUGGCCUUGAGCUGACGACAUUUCGAUUGAAUUUCUGCCCUAUCAACUUUUGUCGGUAGUGUAGUGGACUACCGAGGUUUUUACGGGUGACGGGGGAUCAGGGUUCGAUUCCGGAGAGGGAGCCUGAGAAACGGCUACCACAUCCAAGGAAGGCAGCAGGCGCGCAAAUUACCCAAUCCAGACAAUGGGAGGUGGUGACGAAAAGUACCGGAUGACGGUCAUUGACUGUCAAUCUGGAAUGGAAUCAAUUUAACAAAUUGGUUGAGAAACGACUGGAGGGCAAGUCUGGUGCCAGCAGCCGCGGUAAUUCCAGCUCCAGUAGCGUAUCUCAAAGUUGCUGCGCUUAAAACGCUCGUAGUUGGAUCACAAACUACUGGGGGGUAGGAGAAGAGGAUUGUGUUGUGCUGGAAAAGUUUGGGUGCGUCAUCGCAUGGCAAAUGAUUCCGAUGGCAUAGUCUCUGAUCUAUUAUGCCACCCGGUAGUAAUUACGCGUGAGGAUAGACAUUGGCCUUGAAUGAGCAGAUGUUUGUGUCUCGCGGAGUGUGCCUUGAGUAAAUCAGAGUGCUUAAAGCAGGCUAUACGCUUGAAUGUUAUAGCAUGGAACGAACAAUCGUGUAUGGUGUACGCUGAGCAUGGUUUGUUGGUUUUCCAACAUUCUUCAGUGUACCACACCGACCACCAGUUACGGAUGUUGGUUCCGUAUUGGGGUAUUGAUUAAGAGGAGCGGUUGGGGGCAUUGGUAUUUGGCAGCGAGAGGUGAAAUUCUUGGACCUGUCAAGGACUAACAAAUGCGAAGGCAUCUGUCCAGACCGUAUCCAUUAAUCAAGAACGAUAGUGAAAGGUUCGAAGACGAUCAGAUACCGUCCUAGUUUUCACUGUAAACUAUGCCGACCCGGGAUUAGUUUGGAGCAUUACUACGCUCGAGGUUGGUCCCCCUGGGAAACCUAAAGUUUUUCGGUUGCGGGGGGAGUAUGGUCGCAAGGCUGAAACUUAAAGGAAUUGACGGAAGGGCACCACCAGGGGUGGAGCCUGCGGCUUAAUUUGACUCAACACGGGAAAACUUACCUGGUCCGAACAUCCGAAGGAUACACAGACUGAUAGAUCUUUGUUGAUGGGGUGAAAAGUGGUGCAUGGCCGUUCUUAGUUCGUGGAGUGAUCUGUCAGGCCCAUCCCGGUAACGAACGAGACUACGAUCACCAUUUGGCGAACCGGAGAAGGCAGGCGUUACCAGUUGUUGGCGACAACGACGACGUAACUGCUGCUGUAGGCAACAUUGCUGUAGUAUUGGAGCUUCGGCUUUGGUAUUAUGUCUUUGUUCCCUCCGGUGGAGCAAUGCAUACAGUUCUAUGGGCUCUAUGUAGUGUUUCAUGGUGAGACAGCGGAAUAUACACAAAAUCCGAGGAAGUGUAGCUAUAACAGGUCCGUGAUGCCCUUAGAUGUUCAGGGCUGCACGCGCGCUACAAUGAUAGCAACAACGAGUUUCUGGAUCGAAAGAUUUGGGUAAUCUUGCAAUUGCUAUCGUGAUGGGGAUCGACGUUUGUAAAUACGUCGUGAAAGAGGAAUCCCUAGUACGUGCGAUUCAUUCAGAUCGCGCGGAUUGCGUCCCUGCCCUUUGUACACACCGCCCGUCGCUACUACCGAGUGAAUCGUGUCAUAAUGCCUUGGGAGCGGACGUUGCCUGGGCCUUGUGCUUGGAGUGACGCUGCAAUCAGCGUAAAA